UUUAGCUUUAAUGGCUUUAUUUUAAUUUCAGUUUUAGUAAUUUUAGUACUUCAACUUAAAACUUAUUUUAGUUAAUUGCCAUGUAAGGCAACAUGGUAACACAUUAGUAUAGGGACCAACACUCACUAAACUGUUAGACAUUUCUGUAAUUUCCACAGUUAUUUACUGUAUAUCACCCAGUGUAAUGCUGCAAAUUCCCUUUACAGUAAAUAACUGUAAUACCCUUUGCAUCAUGGGAAUUUUCUGUGACGUCAGACCCCACAUACAGAGACUUACUGUAUUUUUUUAAAUUGCUGUAUACUACUGUAACGGUCUCUUUGGCGCCAUUAUACUGAGGUCGUUUUAUUUUCCUAAUUUCUUACAUUUGGAUUGACAGGAUUUGCCCUACACCAUGUGUACAACGCCGCAGCAGCUUGGGACUGACUACAGUACGUGUUACAUCGCUUCUAAUGAUUGGAAAAUCCGUUUGUACUUCGUGUCAGAAACAGCGCAAGCGCUUGGAGUACAUCUGAACGUCAGAAAUAUACCGGGGCAUCAGUUUACUGUCCGCAUCCACUGUAGAUAGUAUAUAUAAUGGGUUCUAUAUUGUUGGCUGUUGUCGACUCGCGCCUCGCCGCGCCACUCGCGUCCGACGAAGACACGGAAGCAGCGCCGCCGGUUUUUCCCGGGGAUGAACCCGCGAGAGUGGAAGAGCUCCGGAGAACAUCUGCGCUGUGUGUCGAUGCACCUUAGGAGAGAAUAAGACCAGCAAGCAAGGCAACUGCAAUGAAGCAUCAAGAAAGACAUGAGCAGGCCAGCCACCCUGAGACUGAUAAUUCAUGAGAAGGCAUUUCUGUCAAAGUGGACGGUGAGCAAAGAUGGUGGCCGUGUUUUGGAGCAGCACCUGGGUUUUGCAGAGGGCUAUGUAUUUUUUGGCUGUUUGUCUUUUUCCCCAUUAUGUUUCUGUAGCCUAAAUAUUCUUUGUGAGGAUGAAUCCAGAGGACACAACAUAAUGCACUGCAAAACGUCCUAAGACAGGAGAAAUGGUGAAGAUGCACUGUUCCAGCAUUG